rnacentral:misc_RNA from 1 species
GAUGAAGAACGUAGCGAAAUGCGAUAAGUAAUGCGAAUUGCAGAAUUUCCGUGAGUCAUCGAAUCUUUGAACGCACAUUGCGCCCCCUGGUAUUCCGGGGGGCAUGCCUGUCCGAGCGUCAUUGCUGCCCUCAAGCACGGCUUGUGUGUUGGGCCUCCGUCCUCCUCCCGGGGGACGGGCCCGAAAGGCAGCGGCGGCACCGCGUCCGGUCCUCGAGCGUAUGGGGCUUCGUCACCCGCUCUUGUAGGCCCGGUCGGCGCUUGCCGACACAUCAAUCUUUUUUCCAGGUUGACCUCGGAUCAGGUAGGGAUACCCGCUGAACUUAAGCAUAUCAAUAAGCGGAGGA